rnacentral:lncRNA from 1 species
ACACACAGCUUUCAUUUCUAAAGGCCGUCUUGAAGAAAAUUAAACCAGAAAGAUCAAGAAAGAGAAAGGUGUCUAAUGGUCUAGUCUACCAACUUCACUAUGCUGAUUUAUGAAAGAAUUGCUGAAACCCAGUGAAUAAUAGCAUUUGCCCUUCUUUCUCAAAAAAGCAGCAUUUGCUUUCUUCUGGCAAGGAAUAAUUAAGCUAAUUUCUCCAUGAACCUUGGAAAAAGUGGCAACGAAUAAUGGAUUUGUCCCUCAAAGAACAUUUCAAGCAAACAUCUUAUCAGCUACAAAUUCAUUUGAGGCAGUUCCAGGUCAGCCACAGGCAAUUUUUCUCAUUAAAAUACUGUUUAAACUGUUGUAUCCAGAUGACACAGGAGACAUAUCAGACAAACAACACCUGCAAGAAGAAUUGGUGAAGUAUUGACUUUUCAUCAAUCAAAAAGUUUACUAAGCAGAUGAAAAUAAUUUGCCUUCACAGUGACAUUUUCCUGACGUCUUGCUAGUACUUAAAGGCAUUGUUUUUUCUUUAACACCCAAACUUUAAUUACCAGAAAAGGUUAGCAUCAAAACAAAGGACAUGUUGGUAAUUUAGAGGCCAUAUCAGAAAAAUAAAUUCAUUUUGGUUUGAA